AACGAACGCUGGCGGCAUGCCUAACACAUGCAAGUCGAACGGGAUCCUGGUUUCGGCCAGGUGAGAGUGGCGGACGGGUGAGUAACACGUGGGAACCUGCCUUUUGGUUCGGGAUAACCGCGGGAAACUGCGGCUAAUACCGGAUGCUCCCGAGAGGGGAAAGAUUUAUCGCCAGAAGAGGGGCCCGCGUCCGAUUAGGUAGUUGGUGAGGUAAUGGCUCACCAAGGCGACGAUCCGUAACUGGUCUGAGAGGAUGAUCAGUCACACUGGAACUGAGACACGGUCCAGACUCCUACGGGAGGCAGCAGUGGGGAAUCUUGCGCAAUGGGCGAAAGCCUGACGCAGCCAUGCCGCGUGAAUGAUGAAGGUCUUAGGAUUGUAAAAUUCUUUCACCGGGGACGAUAAUGACGGUACCCGGAGAAGAAGCCCCGGCUAACUUCGUGCCAGCAGCCGCUGUAACAC
rnacentral:rRNA from 1 species